UUUAAGUGUAACCAUAAAUUUUUGUGCCUAAUUUUGAUCGUUCGUCUUAUUUAAAUUUUUUUAUAAUUAAUAUUUUUAUUGUUAUGAAAAAUAUGAAUAGUGCUUUAUACAUGACUUAUGUUUUUUUAGAAAAAAUUAAAUAUGAUGAACGGUCAAAGUUGCGUAUGAAAAAUUAUGGUUACACUUAAA
rfam:Oryza glumipatula chromosome 4, whole genome shotgun sequence.